rnacentral:lncRNA from 1 species
CCCUAGCCAUCCUUCUGUCUGCCCGCCAUUGCUAGGGUUGCAGGCAGGCACCACCAUGCCCAGUACUGGGGAUUUGAGGCCAUUUCUUCAUGCUUACAUGGCAUGUACUUUACCCAUUGAGCUAACUCUCCAGCCCUCUUUUGCUCAUUUGUAGAUCAGGUUGCCGUUUAUAUAGUUGAGUCUCUUGUACCUUGUCGGAGUUACCUAAAAUGUACCUAAUAUAAUAAUAUCAAGUUAGUAGAGAACUCUUCUUGCCCGAGUGAGUGGGUGUACGCAUGCACACAUACACAUACACACACACACACACACACACUAUAUUGUAAUUUCAUAAACACAAAAGAAAAAAACACUUUAAAAAAAGAAAGUAAAGAACUUGAUGAGGCUAAAGUUCACUAGUUGCAUUAGAUGUAAUAUAAAAUGUACAGUUCUCACUCUCUGGCUAUGUCUGAGUGACAGUAAAAUACCAUAUUCAGUGUUUAUCUACAGAAAUGUGUGUUCGCCUCCUGGUAAUUACAUUGUCUCAUCUGGUAUGAUUUAGAGUAUGCUGAAGUAGUGAGUUGGUAAGGAGAUGUUUAAAAGAUUAGACUCUAAGGUAAAGCUGGACAUGGUGGCACAUGCCCAACAUUCAAGAGACAGAGGCAUUCUGAGUUUGAGGCCAGCCUGGUUUACUGAGUUCCAGGACAGCUAUGACUACUCAGAGAAACCCUGCCCUGAAAAACAAACAAAAAAAUAAAAUAAGAUGAAAUGCCAACAGGGGCUAGAGAGAUAGCUCACUGGUUAAGAACACUUACUGUUUUUGUAGAGAACCUGGGUUUGGUUACCAGCACAUAGUGGUUCAUAACCAUCUAUAACUUCUGUUCCAGAGCCUCUUACACCUUUUUUCGGACUUCUGCAGACACCAGACACAUACGUGUUCCAUAUACAUACAUGCAGAUAAAACAUUCAUACACAUAAAGUUAAGUCUUUAAAAAAAAACCAAAAAACUAAAAUUAGCCAGGACCACACAGAGAAAUCCUGCCUUGAAAAAAACCUAAACUUUUAGAAUGGUAAAAUUAAAUAGGACUCAACAAAUUAUCUAGUGCAAAUAUUUAUAGUGUUAUGGAACUGUUAACUAAUUUGCAUUACUUGUCAUGUUUCUUUUGUUUAUGUGAGGUAUAUAUUGACACCUUAUAUAUGGGUGUAAAGAUUUUUGAGGUUUGUUUUGAAUUGGUUUUAUUGAGACUCGGGUGUAGACUAGAGUCCUGAGCUUGUAGAGAAGCCAGCUCGGCCUCCCAAGGACUGGGGUCAUAGGUGUACUUAACCAUACCUACUUGAUAUAGUAGAAUUUUUUUCGUUGUUAGUCUUUAGAUAAUGUAAAUGUCUUGGGCUAGUACCACUCGUUGUAAGAUUACAUGUUGCCUCUUAGUGAUAUCCAGUCUUAGAUUUACUUUGCUGUUCCUCAAAACAGCUCAUUUUAAACCUGAAGGUCUGUGUGCGAUGUGUGUAUGUGAAUAUUGCAGUGGGAUGCCUGUGGAGGUUCCCUCCUUACACCUUGUGUUUUGAGUCAGGCUCUCUCUUUUAAUUUCUGCCUCUCGAUAUACUCCAGACUAUAUGGCCCAAGAGUUUCUCAGAAUUUUUCCUGUCUACCUCCCAUAUCCCUAUAGGAUGGCUGAACAUCACUGAGUCUGGCUUACCCUGGUUGUCAGGUUUGUAGCAGGCACCUUAAUCCACCAAGCUGUCUCUCCAGCCCCUAUAAGAGUCUUUCAGAUAACUAAAUUCAAAGUUGCUUCUAUUAGAACUGUAUCUGAUUUCUGUAGUGAGGAUAUUUGGUUUCUACUAUGUAGCCAAGGAUGACCUUGGCUUCCUGAUUCUCCUAUCUCCCAUCUCUCAACUUCUUGGGAUUUAUAGGUCUGUCUUCCCACCCAUAACUAGCAGUUUUGUUUUGUUUUUGGAGAUAGGAAUAUACUUCGUUUCCAGGAUUCCCAGCUUGCCUUAGUCUACUAGGCUUAAAUGAAUCCUUUGCCUCAGUUUCCCCUCAAGUUGAGACUACCAACAAGUGUCAUUACACCUGGCUCAGAUUUUAAUUUGAAAUGUUAUAUUUAUUUCUAAUAGGCAUAGUACUUAGAGUCAAAGGAGGAUAGUCCCUUUAUUUUAGAUGCACUAUAUUUUAUAGACUCAGUUUUAAAAACAAAAUAAUAGCACCUCUUUGUAGAUUUCUUAGAUUUAUUUUUAUAAGCUUUUGUUCAUUUGUGUUUAUUUGUGUGUGUGUGUCUGCGGGUGUCUCUGUAUAUGUGCCAGUUACCUGGAGAACUUAGAGAAGAGCAUUGGAGCUCUUGGAGCUGGAGUUACAGCAGGUAGUAAGCCAUGUGACCAUGGAUACUGGAGGCCACACUUAGGUCCUCUGAAGAAGAACAGGCAUUAAAAACUGAGAUGUCUCUCUAGUUCUAAAAGACUUUUUAAAAAAAUUUUACACACACACACACACACACACACACACACACAUAUACAUACACAUAGUUAACAGAUGGUUGUAAACCACCAUGUGGGUGCUGGAAAUUGAACCUGGGUUCUUUGGAAGAGAAGUCAGUAGUCUUAACUGCCAAGCUAUCUCUCCAGCUUCCAUGAUACAUAGUUUUUAAAAUCAAGGUUAUCAAGACCAAAAGGUAUCAUGGCUUAUUAAGACCAUGCACCAAGUGGGAUUAUGAGAAAGUCAGCACACGGUGUAAGAGUGUGACAAAGCAAAAAGCCACUUGAAAUGUCAGGUUAUUGGAUUAUUGGCUUAUUUUCAUCUUGCUGGAGAGAGGGAGAGAGAGAGAGAGCGCACGCUCGCGCACAUAUUAAACUUUUUUCAUGUUAAACUUAGCACUUUGUAUAUGGCUCCUUUGUAGAGCAGGUAGGAUCUCAGUGUGUAGCAGCCCAGGCUGGCCUGGAACUUGUCCUUAAUGGUCCAUCUUCAACCUCCCAAGUACUGAGAUUAUAGGUGUGAGUCUCUACAUCUGGAUUUUUCUGUGUAUUUGUAAGUAAUGUUUUGGUUUUGUUUGU